AAAUGGAUCACCUGGGGACUUGGUUAAAAUACAGAUUCUGAUUCAUUAGGUCUGGUUGGGGUCCAAGAUUCAACAUUUCUAACUCUCAGGUGAUGAGGAU
rnacentral:miRNA from 1 species